GGAUUAGUACGUUGGUCGUGCCUUAGGUACGUACUGGUGUUACUGGUUCCUACCUUCUGACGAACCAUCAUGUCAUUAAUUUGGUGUGGCGGGGAAUCAGGACUGUUACUUUGAAAAAAUUAGAGUGUUUAAAGCAGGUUCGCGCUUGAAUACAUUAGCAUGGAAUAAUGAAAUAGGACAUUGACCCUAUUUUGUUGGUUUCUAGGAUCACCGUAAUGAUUAAUA
rnacentral:rRNA from 1 species